UGGGGAAUUUUGGACAAUGGGCGAAAGCCUGAUCCAGCAAUGCCGCGUGUGUGAAGAAGGCCUUCGGGUUGUAAAGCACUUUUGUCCGGAAAGAAAUCCUUGGCUCUAAUACAGUCGGGGGAUGACGGUACCGGAAGAAUAAGCACCGGCUAACUACGUGCCAGCAGCCGCGGUAAUACGUAGGGUGCAAGCGUUAAUCGGAAUUACUGGGCGUAAAGCGUGCGCAGGCGGUUUGCUAAGACCGAUGUGAAAUCCCCGGGCUCAACCUGGGAACUGCAUUGGUGACUGGCAGGCUAGAGUAUGGCAGAGGGGGGUAGAAUUCCACGUGUAGCAGUGAAAAUGCGUAGAGAUGUGGAGGAAUACCGAUGGCGAAGGCAGCCCCCUGGGCCAAUACUGACGCUCAUGCACGAAAGCGUGGGGAGCAAACAGGAUUAGAUACCCUGGUAGUCCACGCCCUAAAACGAUGUCAACUAGUUGUUGGGGGAUUCAUUUUCCUUAGUAACGUAGCUAACGCGUGAAGUUGACCGCCUGGGGAGUACGGUCGCAAAGAUUAAAACUUAAAGGAAUUGACGGGGUCAUAGCUGUUUCCU
rnacentral:rRNA from 1 species